rnacentral:rRNA from 1 species
CCUACGGGAGGCAGCAGUAAGGAAUAUUGGUCAAUGGAGGCAACUCUGAACCAGCCAUGCCGCGUGCAGGAAGACUGCCCUAUGGGUUGUAAACUGCUUUUAUCCGGGAAUAAACCUGCUUACGUGUAAGUAGCUGAAUGUACCGGAAGAAUAAGGAUCGGCUAACUCCGUGCCAGCAGCCGCGGUAAUACGGAGGAUCCAAGCGUUAUCCGGAUUUAUUGGGUUUAAAGGGUGCGUAGGCGGCCUGUUAAGUCAGGGGUGAAAGACGGUAGCUCAACUAUCGCAGUGCCCUUGAUACUGAUGGGCUUGAAUGGACUAGAGGUAGGCGGAAUGAGACAAGUAGCGGUGAAAUGCAUAGAUAUGUCUCAGAACACCGAUUGCGAAGGCAGCUUACUAUGGUCUUAUUGACGCUGAGGCACGAAAGCGUGGGGAUCAAACAGGAUUAGAUACCCUGGUAGUCCACGCCCUAAACGAUGAACACUCGCUGUUGGCGAUACACAGUCAGCGGCUAAGCGAAAGCGUUAAAGNGUUCCACCUGGGGAGUACGCCCGCAAGGGUGAAACGUCAAAANAGAGUAGAGGCGNGAGACGAGCGACGGACGACGACGAGGGGAGGAGG